rnacentral:SRP_RNA from 2 species
GGAGAUCGGCCACGGACGAGCAUCUUGCGAACCCGGUCAGGUCCGGAAGGAAGCAGCCGCAGUGAGUUUCGCUCGGGUUGUGCGUCCGGUCUCUCAC